rnacentral:rRNA from 1 species
AACGAACGCUGGCGGCAGGCUUAACACAUGCAAGUCGAGCGCCCCGCAAGGGGAGCGGCAGACGGGUGAGUAACGCGUGGGAACGUACCCUUUGCUACGGAAUAGCUCCGGGAAACUGGAAUUAAUACCGUAUGUGCCCUACGGGGGAAAGAUUUAUCGGCAAAGGAUCGGCCCGCGUUGGAUUAGCUAGUUGGUGGGGUAAUGGCCUACCAAGGCGACGAUCCAUAGCUGGUCUGAGAGGAUGACCACCCACAUUGGGACUGAGACACGGCCCAAACUCCUACGGGAGGCAGCAGUGGGGAAUAUUGGACAAUGGGCGCAAGCCUGAUCCAGCCAUGCCGCGUGAGUGAUGAAGGCCUUAGGGUUGUAAAGCUCUUUCACCGGAGAAGAUAAUGACGGUAUCCGGAGAAGAAGCCCCGGCUAACUUCGUGCCAGCCGCCGCAGUAAGAC